rnacentral:rRNA from 1 species
CGGCGGACGGGUGAGUAACACGUGGGUAACCUACCUAUAAGACUGGGACAACUUCGGGAAACCGGAGCUAAUACCGGAUAAGAUAUCGAACCGCAUGGUUCGAUAGUGAAAGANGGUUUUGCUAUCACUUAUAGAUGGACCCGCGCCGUAUUAGCUAGUUGGUGAGGUAACGGCUCACCAAGGCAACGAUACGUAGCCGACCUGAGAGGGUGAUCGGCCACACUGGAACUGAGACACGGUCCAGACUCCUACGGGAGGCAGCAGUG